rnacentral:rRNA from 1 species
UGGGGAAUAUUGCACAAUGGGGGAAACCCUGAUGCAGCGACGCCGCGUGAGCGAAGAAGGUUUUCGAAUCGUAAAGCUCUGUCCUAUGGGAAGAUAAUGACGGUACCAUAGGAGGAAGCCCCGGCUAACUACGUGCCAGCAGCCGCGGUAAUACGUAGGGGGCAAGCGUUGUCCGGAAUCACUGGGCGUAAAGGGUUCGCAGGCGGAAAUGCAAGUCAGUUGUGAAAGGCAGAGGCUCAACCUCUGUAAGCAAUUGAAACUGUAUUUCUUGAGAUGUGGAGAGACAAGUGGAAUUCCUAGUGUAGCGGUGAAAUGCGUAGAUAUUAGGAAGAAUACCGGUGGCGAAGGCGACUUGCUGGACACAAACUGACGCUGAGGAACGAAAGCGUGGGUAGCAAACAGG